GUGAGGAAUAUUGCACAAUGGGCGCAAGCCUGAUGCAGCGACGCCGCGUGGGUGAAGAAGGUCUUCGGAUCGUAAAACCCUUUUCUGCGUGACGAGCAAGGACGGUAGCGCAGGAAGAAGUCUCGGCUAACUACGUGCCAGCAGCCGCGGUAAAACGUAGGAGACGAGCGUUAUCCGGAGUUACUGGGCGUAAAGCGCGUGUAGGUGGUUUUUUACGUCUGCUGUGAAAGCGCACGGCUCAACCGGGCGUAGGCGGCGGCUACGGGAAGACUAGAGGGUGACAGAGGAGCGUAGAAUUCCGGGUGUAGUGGUGAAAUGCGUAGAGAUCCGGAGGAAUACCAGUGGCGCAAGCGGCGCUCUGGGUCGCACCUGACACUGAGACGCGAAGGCAUGGGGAGCGAACGGGAUUAGAAACCCGGGUAGUCC
rnacentral:rRNA from 1 species